UAUUAAUGAAUCAUAAAUGUUAUGCAUAGUAUGACAGGGCCACUUUCAGCAAGCUCAGCAAGGAAGAAGCCAAUAAGGUUCAGGAACUGAAGCAGUUGAAGGGAGAAGAGCUUGAAGGAUUGAAUAUAAAUGAAUUACAGAAGCUGUUGAGGGCAAUUAGAAGGAGGUUUGAAACGUGUUGUCAGGGCAAAGGAUGACCUAAUGUUGAAAGAGAUCGAUGCGCUCAAGAGAAAGAGAAUCCAAUUGGUGGUAGAGAAUCAGCGAUUAAAGCAGGUGAGGAAUCGUUCACAAGAACAAGGAGGUCAGUCGUCUGAGUCAGCCAACAUUGGCAGCAUAUUUGAUCCUCCAUACGAUGAUGAUAGUUCAGACACUUCUCUCAGAUUGGGAUUGUCUUUAUUUAAAUGAGAAAAGGAAGGGGGGGGGGGGGGAGACGAUGAGGCACUAUAGAGCAGAACCAGAUACUCUUGAGGUUAUCAUUCUUGCGGGUGAAAUUUAACCAAUGCAGGAGUUUUUUUUCCCAUUAUUUCAUAAGAAUUUAAGUUUGCUUUUAAUCUGUAAGUAAGUAGGUAUUGAUUACAUAAAUUGACCAAAUGAGCAUAUAUAUAUAUAUAUAUAUAUAUAUAUAUAGAUAUAUUAUAUUCAUGGAUCCAAUGGUGUUGUGCUUGAAUUCCAAAGUCAUGUAUAAAAAGGGCCCAAUGCUCGGCCUUAAUGUGCCGUAGCUUCAUUCACCCGCUGUAGUGGUGGUUAUUUGAUAUAUUCCAUACGAAAAAAAA